AGUUCUGUCUACAGGUCAGCGCCAUCAGCCAAGAAUAUGAAAAAGUCAGCCUUUACACACACAUGCAGUGUGUGACCACUACGGGAGACUUCCCUGUGUGGCUCAUCUUGCCAGGUGUGGUUGGUCCAGCUAUGUUGAUAGGACCUUUCUACAUUUACCGCAGAAAGAAAAGAAGGGUUCCAUCUCAUUCUAUAAAACCCAGCAGCAUAUUGGGUCUUCCAAAAUCCCUCGCACCCUUGUCCGUGGAUUCCAGCGAGGAGAGCUGUGCGGUGAUGACUGUGGUUACCAACGGUUGGCCACAGGAGGACUGAGCUCAUUGAGAAAUCUAGGAUGUACACAGGAGGACAGUAGCAGAAACAGCGACUGGAGCUAACUGAAAGUAACGCCACCGGUCGUCAUGGGAACGCACAAAGAGUUAUAUUUGGGCGAUUUUGAAAAACUAUAAGGACUGUUGGCAUGGAAUGCUACAUGCAUUGUGAAAUGGUUUUCGGUCUGUUCAUUUGUUUUAAGUUCCACUGCAUUGGCAGUAUUUAAUGCCUUUUACAUUGAGUUUCCUCAAUUUGUUACUUGAAUAAAGCCUAAUUCAUUUUCUUGA